AAGUUGAUUACUCUGAUUAACCUAAGUCGAAGCUACCUAACCUAGGUAUAGAAUAUCACUUAGCUGGGUUCCGCGGCUUUUCUCCUCACAGCCCUAAAAUCGCCGACUCCUCACUCUCUUCUUCCCCGAAACCACCGAUUUCUCCUCCCGGUUCACCUCCGCCAACUUCGACAGAGCUCCGCACCGAGCCCCGGCCUUCGGACAAGCAACUCCCCACGCCGACGAGGUCAUGGAGGACAUUACGAUCAGAUGCCGAGACCUUCGAACCCCUUCCGUUCGGCGCGACACCACCGGAUGAGGGAUUUCGACGGUGACACGAAGAAAGGAGAGGCAACUACAGUUCCUUAUGCAACUGUGAGACCUGUGAGGUGAGGAUGAUUCUCAGGGUACGAUAGGAGGCCCACGGACGGAGUAGACGAGGAGGCGGGAUGGACGCAUGAUACUGUUCGUUUGUUUAGGAGUGCAGAGCAUACUAAUUCCAUCGCGAGUGAUUUUUCUUCAUUAUACUACAGUGGGAUGUUUGGGGUUUGUUGUUCUUUUUCAUUAAACUCUUGUGGAUACAAACGUUUUCAUUGAACAUGAUAGUUUUCCUUGGAGGGAUUAUUCUA